rnacentral:lncRNA from 1 species
UAAAUAAAUAUAAGUGUGAUGAUCAUCAGUAAUAGAGCAUUGUCCCAUAAAAAAGAGAAAGGCCAAAUAAUAAUAAUGUAGCGACCAGACCUCAAACAGUCCGAUCUCUGUGCUCAGGUGUCAUCCCUGGAUCAGUAAUGCUGACACCACACAUUACUUGAAGGAUUUAUAACAGAGUAGCAAUCACACACUUAUUACAUCGAGUGUCUCAAUAGAGAACUUAAUACAAUAAAUAUGGCUUAAGGCCAUCUAAUAACGAUAACAGCGGAAGGCUUGGAAGAUAAGUGAGUCCAUCAACUCCAACGGCAUCAUUGAGUAUAGAACCACGACCUAAAAGCUCCUUAAUCAUCGUCUGAAAAGUCUGCAACAUUAACGUUGCAGCCCGAAACGGGUCAGCACAUGGAAUAUGCUGGCAAGGUAACACAUAGAGAGUAAUGGAAUGAAACAGCUAUUCUAUAUGCAUAUUUGGCUGGUGGAAAGCUCUAUGGUUACAGUUUUGCGUAAAGCCAAUUUUUCCCUACUGCAAAGGAAUAAAUUUUAUGUAACUAUCAUGGUAGUUGUUAAACAUUGAGAAUGGUUGACAGCAUCCUCAAUCCCAAUUAAGCAUCAUCAUUAAACAAAACCCAAUAAAAUUAAAUCUUAGGGUAACAUGUUGAGAUUCACAUGAUAAUCCAGGUACUAGAUACUCAAGUUGUGCAUAACCGGGCACACGGCUAACCAUGAUUAGUUUAUACACUCUGCAGAGGUUUGCGCACUUUUCCCCACAAGACUCGACCGCCUUCGUUUGGUUUCUCACACUACACGGUGUUUGAGAAGACGGAUGACUGAGACAUAGUCUUUCAGAAGCGCUAGCACCUUACGAUGGAUAGACUGUUACACCUACUUUCCCCUACAUCUGCUAGUCUACCCUGUAAGAGUUCGCAUGACUUAAUCAACUAUGCUAGAGCCCAUAAUAGCUUGUGGCUGCACACGGAAGUUUCUAGUAUGAAAAAUCUCAUGAUCCCUUUGGGCCUGGGUGGCGGUCCAUAAAAAAACAGGCAAUCCUGGAAUACCCAGGUACCUCAAUCCACCCAGAUGUGUGUUUAAGUUGCCACCUUAGAUAAACCAUUAAUUUAACAAACUCACAUCUGUCAUGGAUAUCACUCACUCAAUCCACGUCUACUAGCAUAGCAUAGCAAUACUAAGCAAAUGUAGAAGUAACUCCCAAAGGUUUGAUAAUACAACAGGUAAUAGGUACUACCUCAACUACUUCCCAUCCCACAAUUUAAUUAGAUCCUAAUCAUGCAAUGUUUGAGGAUUGAUCUAAUGCAAUAAAACUGGGUAGUAGGAGGUAUGAUCAAAGUGUUACUUGCCUUGCUGAUGAUCCGCGAAACCUAGAGAUUCGAAGUAACAGGCGGCACACUCCGGG